UUUAUACUCCCUCCGUCCCGAAAUUCUUGUCUAAAUGCGAACGUAUGAAAUCAUGUUUUAGUAUUAGGUACAUCCGUAUCUAGACAAAUUUAAGACAAGAAUUUUGGGGCGGAGGGAGUACUAC
rfam:Triticum aestivum genome assembly, contig: Triticum_aestivum_CS42_TGACv1_scaffold_501398_6BL